ensembl:misc_RNA Metazoa_SRP Metazoan signal recognition particle RNA
ACCAGGUGUGGUGAUGCACGCCUGUCGUCCCAGCUACUUGGGAGGCUGAGGCAGGAGGAUGGCUUGAGCCCAGGAGUUCAAGGCUACAGUGAGCUAUGAUCACACCACUGCACUCUAGCCUGGGCAGUAGAGUGAGACCCUGCCUCAU